AUGGUGAACUCGCUAGGGCCACACCACUCUUCUUCUUCUUCUUCUUCUUCCUCCACCUCUCGAUCGGGCCAGCGUCCCGCCUCGGGAUUUGCUAGGCUGCUCUGGACCAACUCCUCCUCCUCCUCCUCUGCUCGCGCGCCCGUGGAAAAAUGCCGCCUCCGCCUCCCCGCCUGCUGCUCUACUUAUACCUGCCACUCGCCCUCCCGCCUAGCUAGGACCAUGUCGGCGAGCGCCAUGGAGGACCUCCGCGCCAAGAGCAUGGCGUGCGCCGGGGUCGGGGGCGGGGAGGCGUCGUCGUCCGCAGCGGCCAGCGCCGCCGCGUCCAGGAUCAUCGCGCAGUGGGCCGCGCGGCGCCGGCAGGCCUGCGAGCAGAUGGUGCUCGGCGGGCUCGACCGCCGCGACCGCGACUCGGAGCUCAUGGCGCUCGCGCGCCUCCACGCCGUCUCCACCAUGCUCGACGCCUCCUCCUUCCUCCGCGCCCGCGCCGACGCCAACGACGACGACGACGACGACGGGAGGCGCGCGCGGUCGCCGGAGCGCGCACUCGUGCGGCGGAUCGCGCGUGAGUGGACGGCGCCCGCGCCCGCGCAGCCGCAGGGCUCCCCGCGCGGCGGCAACGACGGCGGCGUAGGCGAGGAGUGGCUGGGCGAGACGGAGCGCGAGCGCGUGCGGUCGGUGCGGGAGCGCGUGCGCAGGGCCAGCCAGGGCGGCGACGGCGGGGACGGCCACGCGCCGGGGCUCCGCUGGCGGCAGGCGCGCGCGCCGACCGCCGCCAGGCGCAUGUCCAUGGAGCGGCUGCGCGAGCUCCAGGGCCUCUCGGAGCACCGCGCUGUGUCCUCCUUCGCCCACCGCGGGCGCAUCCAGUCCAUUCUGCGAGGCAGAAUCAUUGGUGGUGGAAGGCCUACGCGGGACGACGUGACGAUUUCUACGGCAGCCGGAGAAUCGGGACAGAUUACACAGAGUCGUCCUGGAUCUGGAGCAGAAAACAUCACCAGUGAUCAAGCAACUCACCUGGAGAAUGCUUCUGCCAACCAUGAGAUCAUCCAGACGCUUCAGCCAGCACAAGAUCAGCCCGACAACGUACCAAACACCAGUGAUGCUCUGCAGGAUGGCCAGCUUGAUCAGGCACAAGACAUGCACGGGUACCAGGAGUACUCGUCGGACUCGGGGUCCUCGGCGCAGAGCGGCGAGCACUCCGGCUCUUCCUCCGACGGCAACGGCAGCGCGCGGCAGGAAGCCAUAGCUUACGUGCAGCCUCCACCCAGUGUGCAGUGGCCAGGGGAGACAUCGGGAUCGGGUGCUAGUGGCCAGGAAGCAGAGGAGGAGGAGGAGGAGUGGCAUGUCAUUGAUAAUCCAGAAGCUGAAGCACAGCAAUGGCGGCCGGAAGAUCUAGGCGGCUUCGCUCGGCAUAACCGUCUCCAGGAAGACGCGCUCUACGGAAUGUACAGGGCUGAGCUCAGAGAACUCCUAAGCAGGCGCAGCGUCUCCAAUCUGCUCAGCAGCGGCUUCCGCGAGAGCCUGGACCAGCUCGUCCACUCGUAUGCUCAGAGGCAGGAGCAUGACCCUCCAGCUCCACUCAACCAAGACCAUGUUCAACACCAGCGGAUCGGUGGAUCAGACCGGGCCGAGCACGCCGCCGCCGGUGCGCAGCCUGCCGCCGGCCAAAGGCAGCAGCGGCGCUGGCGGAUGGUGCCGCCUCGUCGUGACUGGAACCGGCAACCUGUGCACCGCCCAGAUGAACUUGAAGUUGAUGAGGCCAUCCACGACCUGCGGGACGACAUGGCCGUGCUCCAGCGCGGGAUGGCCAGCACGCAGCAGAUGCUGCAGGCGUGCAUGGAGAUGCAGGUCGAGCUGCAGAGGUCCAUCCGGCAGGAGGUCGCCUCUGCCAUGCACCGCUCUCUGUCCCUCCAUGGGACAGUUAGAUGGUACGAUGAUGGAUCACAGUGGGAGCUGGUGAGGAAAGGGACCUGCUGCAUCUGCUGCGACAGCCAGAUCGACUCGCUUCUCUACAGGUGUGGGCACAUGUGCACCUGCUCAAAGUGCGCCCGCGAGCUGCUCCGCGGGGCCGGCAAGUGCCCGCUGUGCCGCGCGCCCAUCGUCGAGGUCGUCCGGGCUUACAGCAUAAUCUGA
rnacentral:rRNA from 1 species